GACAAACGCUGGCGGCAUGCCUAACACAUGCAAGUCGAACGGACAGAACAGGGAAGCUUUUCGGAGUGGAACUGGAAAGUUAGUGGCGGAUGGGUGAGUAACGCGUGGACAACCUACCUUGUAAAGGGGAAUAACCUCAAGAAAUCGAAGCUAAUACCCCAUAAUAACCUUGCUUCGCAUGAAGUAAGGAGGAAAGGCGGCCUUAGCGCUGUCGAUACAAGAUGGGUCCGCGUCUGAUUAGCUAGUUGGUGAGGUAAAGGCUCACCAAGGCGACGAUCAGUAGCCGGCCUGAGAGGGUGAACGGCCACAUUGGGACUGAGACACGGCCCAAACUCCUACGGGAGGCAGCAGUGGGGAAUCUUCCGCAAUGGGCGAAAGCCUGACGGAGCAAUGCCGCGUGAGUGAAGAAGGCCUUCGGGUUGUAAAACUCUGUCCUUAUCGAAGAGAGAGUGUUGUAGUAACUGACAAUACUAGGACGGUAGAUGAGGAGGAAGCCCCGGCUAACUAUGU
rnacentral:rRNA from 1 species